CCUACGGGAGGCAGCAGUGGGGAAUAUUGGGCAAUGGGCGCAAGCCUGACCCAGCAACGCCGCGUGAAGGAAGAAGGCUUUCGGGUUGUAAACUUCUUUUCUCAGGGACGAAGAAAGUGACGGUACCUGAGGAAUAAGCCACGGCUAACUACGUGCCAGCAGCCGCGGUAAUACGUAGGUGGCAAUCGUUAUCCGGAUUUAUUGGGUGUAAAGGGCGAGUAGGCGAGAGCGCAAGUCAGAUGUGAAAACUCAGGGCUCAACCCUGAGCCUGCAUUUGAAACUGUGUUUCUUGAGUGCUGGAGAGGCAAUCGGAAUUCCGGGUGUAGCGGUGAAAUGCGUAGAUAUACGGAGGAACACCAGUGGCGAAGGCGGAUUGCUGGCCAGUAACUGACGCUGAGGCGCGAAAGCGUGGGGAGCGAACAGGAUUAGAUACCCUUGUAGUC
rnacentral:rRNA from 1 species